UACAGAGGGUGCGAGCGUUAAUCGGAAUUACUGGGCGUAAAGCGCACGUAGGCGGCUUGGUAUGUCGGGUGUGAAAUCCCCGGGCUCAACCUGGGAACUGCAUCCGAAACUGCCUUGCUCGAGUAUGGGAGAGGGAAGUGGAAUUUCCGGUGUAGCGGUGAAAUGCGUAGAUAUCGGAAGGAACAUCAGUGGCGAAGGCGACUUCCUGGACCAAUACUGACGCUCAGGUGCGAAAGCUAGGGGAGCGAACGAGG
rnacentral:rRNA from 1 species